rnacentral:rRNA from 1 species
UAGGGAAUCUUCGGCAAUGGACGAAAGUCUGACCGAGCAACGCCGCGUGAGUGAAGAAGGUUUUCGGAUCGUAAAACUCUGUUGUUAGAGAAGAACAAGGACGUUAGUAACUGAACGUCCCCUGACGGUAUCUAACCAGAAAGCCACGGCUAACUACGUGCCAGCAGCCGCGGUAAUACGUAGGUGGCAAGCGUUGUCCGGAUUUAUUGGGCGUAAAGCGAGCGCAGGCGGUUUCUUAAGUCUGAUGUGAAAUCCCCCGGCUCAACCGGGGAGGGUCAUUGGAAACUGGGAGACUUGAGUGCAGAAGAGGAGAGUGGAAUUCCAUGUGUAGCGGUGAAAUGCGUAGAUAUAUGGAGGAACACCAGUGGCGAAGGCGGCUCUCUGGUCUGUAACUGACGCUGAGGCUCGAAAGCGUGGGGAGCAAACAGG